GUGAAUGGUAACUUUUCAGUUACCAUUUUUUAUUCUUCAGAAUUCUAUUUUCAAGCUACCAAAACACCUAGUCUCUGUAGUCUGUAAGUUUACUAGAAAAUGUGAGAAAUGCUUUGGGUUCUCUUGAAAAGGCAAUUGCAUUUAGUGACUAUUUAAUUUUAACCAGAAUUUUUUUUAGAUUGAUGGAUUUCUUUGGAGCAGUUUCUAUCAUAAAUCUAGUUCUUUUACUGGAAUACUUUUUUCCUUGUUGAAGGGACCUGCAAAAGCAUUUUUUUUGUUUUUCCAAUCCUUUUCCGUGGUGUUUGCUUGAGCUGACAAAUUAUUCUGAUUGGAGCCAAAUCAUCUCAAAUACAAGGACUAUUUUUACCUAUUUAUCUGCUAUGUAAAUUACUUUAUCCAUUAUUGAGUUUGCUUUGGGAAAGCAAUUUUCUUGUUUCUAAAAUUUGCUUUCAUAAUGCAAUCAGAUGAAGCAUCUCCAUAUAGCUUGCAAACACCUUAUAUAUUAUAUUUAGGUUUCAAACCUAUUUUUUUCUUAUAAAUCUUCCUGAUUUCUUAGAUUCAUAUCUCUACACCAAAUGAUCAUAUUUUAUCGACUGAUAUGAUGUCCUCACUUUACUCCACCUUGCUCUUUGUCACACGCGUAACAAAUGUAAUCCUUAGGUUCUCCCUGCAUGUCAAUGGCUUUGAUACUGAAUGGUUUUGCUUUAAAGUUCCAUUAUGCUAUCUGUCUCAUUCACUCUCCCUCUCUUGUAAUGUGCUUGUGUGGUUGUUUGCUCUGAGGC
rnacentral:misc_RNA from 1 species